AGUGUUUCCUUCAAGCAGCAUCGUGGACAGAUUCCUGCCAGACCCUUCAGAGCAAGCACCCCACACCCCUAGCCCAGGGUCUCUUCAUCGAUAGGGGGUGAUCUGUCUGCCCCUCACUGUUUUCUCCAAAUAGAUCAAAACCUAAAAAGGUGGGAAUGAAAGAAGCUCCUAACCCUCCUGGCUUUUUUCCCAAAGCCAGGAGGCAGCUCCUGAAUGGUGGAUUUUGGACUACUGGUGAGGCUGUCAGCAAAGGGCCUGGCCCAGAGAGAUGCUCAAGAGUAGGAUGAAAAGACCGUGGGCUUCUUCCUCUGCAAAAGGAAAGGUUUGGGACUGAUGGAUGCUGAAAAGUCUAGAUCUUCAUAAUCCUCAACAGCUUCACUGCCACUGCACACACAAAAUGAGUGUGCCCUAUAUUUCCAGCCCUCUGAUGAAUACGAAAAGAGCCUGAAGAACUCAUCUUCCUGGUCGCAAAGUACUUUAAAAUAUAUAAUCCCUCAAUCUUAAACAUACACAUUUUAUUGCUUUUUAUUAUACAAUAAUACAUAUUUACUAUUGAAAAUACAGAUAAGAAAAAAGAAAAUGGUUCAUAAUAAUACUACCCAGGUUUAAAAAAUACUAUUCAGCCUUAUGUUGAAG
rnacentral:lncRNA from 1 species